ACUCCUGCCCCGUGUGGCACAAGGGCAUAGGCCUCCUCCGCCCAUGUCUAGGGGAGGUACCGCUGUCGGGGUUAAUAGAUUUUUGGGCGACAGGGGCCAUCACUUUGAGCGGGGACAUGGGGAUUUCUUUUUUUUAAUUAAUUAAUUAAUUAAUUUAUUUAUUUAAUUAUUUUUGGCUGUGUUGGGUCUGCGUUUCUGUGCGAGGGCUUUCUCUAGUUGUGACGAGUGAGGGCCACUCUUCAUUGCGGUGCGCGGGCCUCUCACUGUCGUGGCCUCUCUUGUUGCGGAGCACAGGCUCCAGACGCGCAGGCUCAGUAGUUGUGGCUCACGGGCUUAGUUGCUCCGUGGCAUGUGGGAUCUUCCCAGACCAGGGGUCGAACCCGUGUCCCCUGCAUUGGCAGGCAGAUUCUCAACCACUGCGCCACCAGGGAAGCCCAGGGAUCUUUUUUUGCCGUCCUCAGUACUAGAUUUCAUGACAACCCCCCAUCCCCACACCUUCCUCCCAUCUGACAGCAUUCCCACCAACCUGGAUCUGGAUUUGGGUCUACACAGCAUCUCGCCACCAGGUGCAGCUGCCAUUGUGGCGGUGGCGGUGCCAGCGCAGGCAGCGUCAAAGAUGGCGACAUAGAUACAGAGAUCUGGGAUGUCGGUAACGUGGGAAGAGGAAGGCUGGCAUACAUUCCCUACCUCCCACCAACUCCCCUCCUUUCUCCUGUCUCCUCUCGCCUCAGACUACCCAGAUUGCUAGAGUUGAAGACCGCCUUCCAACCGCUGGUGCCGGGGACAGAAACACAACAAGGCCGGUUGCUAUGCGACAGGUUGGCUAGGCUCUGGGAGAGCGCCACCGUGGCGUCGUGGAACAGACUCAGAGAUCUCGGCAGUUGGCAGGCGUAGGCGAAGGCUGUGUCUGGUGCUCUAUGAAGGGCCUGUGGCCUAUGUCUUCCAGUGGUCCAGGGCACGGACGGAUGGAUAAAUGGAAAGGUGGAUGGAUCGACGGAUGGAUGAAUAGAUGGAUGGAUUGUUGGGCCUGCUGAGAGUGGAGGAAAGCCAGAUCCGGAAUUGGGUAGACUCUGCGUCUCGCCACCAGGUCCAGCGGCUACCGCGGUGGCGGCGUUGUCAAAGAUGGCAGCACAUACUCAGAGAUCCGGGAUAUUGGUAACCCAAGGAGAGAAAGGCUGGCACACCCUCCCUACCUCCUAUCAUUUCCCUUAUGUCCUCUCCCUCUUACUCUCUGACAACCCAGCUUGCCAGGGUUGAAGCCCGCCCUCCCACUGCGCAUGCGCGGGACACAACGGCAGCUAGCUUCGGAAAGACAGGCACGGUUGUCAUUGGAAGGGACCAUCACUUCCAGCAGGACUUGGGGAUCUUCAUGAGCCCCUCCGCAACCAGAUUUCAUCGCGACCCCUUCCUCCAUUUCCACCCGCUGGAAUACAGGUUUGGGUUCACGGUGGUGCAAAGCAUGUCUGCGUCUUGCCACCAAGGCCAGCUGCCACUGUGGCAGCGCCGGCGGCUGCGCCCACGGUGGCAGCAGAAACCCAGAGAUCUGGGAUCUCGCGGACCUGAGGAGAUCUCCCCCUAUCCAACACCCCACCCCCGCCCGCCCCACCCCCCGCAAGAGUCCAGCUUUCCAUUGUUGAAGACCGCCCUCGAACAGCGCAGGCACUGGCCAAGGAGCGCUGGUGGCUUCAGUGACCAAGAUGGUUGCUAAAGAUGGGUCCUCCAAGAUCAGGGGGAGCGAGAGCUCCCUCUGGUGGUGGGAAGGAGCAGGCUGUGGCCCGUGCUCCAUUUUAGGGCCUGUGGCCUCAGUCUUCCAGUGAUCCAGUAGAUGGAUGGAAUGAAGGAUGAAGGAUGAUGGACAGAUGGAUGGAUGGAUUGUUGGGGCUACAGAGAAUGGAGGAAUGCGGUCUGGGCCAGUCUGACCAAGCAGGAUCAGAAGCCUACCAGUGGAAUCCCUUCCUCCCGCCAUGCUUCAGAGAGUGCCUGGGGCUAUCCUGGAAGAGGACUGCCUUGUAACCCCCGAGAUGGGACUGCUUGUGUAUUUCUGGGUGGCUUUGCUCCCUUAUAGGUUUCAAAGCAGGGAGUCAGAAGGAAUUCCCGUGCGGUCCAGUGGUUAGGACUCCUCACUUUCACUGCCAAGGGCCUGGUUCAAUCCCUGGUUGGGGAACUAAGAUCCCAAAGCCAGGGCAGGGCGAAAAAAAAAAAAAAAUCAUGGAGCCAGAGCCAGAGCCUGAGGAGAUGCCCCUGUGGGUGGAUGAUUGGGGCUUGUCCAAUGGGCCUGGGACUCCCUGCAGUCCCUAUUCUUCCUGAUGACCUUGUGGCUGUAUUGCUGUGUUUGGUUGUGACUGAAUAUGACUUCUUUUCCCUC